rnacentral:rRNA from 1 species
UACAGAGGGGGCAAGCGUUGUUCGGAAUUACUGGGCGUAAAGGGCGCGUAGGCGGCCUUCUAAGUCGAACGUGAAAUCCCCGGGCUCAACCCGGGAACUGCGUCCGAUACUGGAAGGCUUGAAUCCGGGAGAGGGAUGCGGAAUUCCAGGUGUAGCGGUGAAAUGCGCAGAUAUCGGGAGGAACACCAAUUGCGAAGGCAGCUCGCUGGGACGUCACUGACGCUGAGACGCGAAAGCGUGGGGAGCAAACAGG